UCUCUAAGUGGAAGUAUAUGCUUCCUACCUGAGAGAGAAUCGGGUUCAAAUCUUGCGGGGACCUUCUAUAACGGGACGGGUGUAAUGUGAUGAAAACAUGGUGCCGUUUGAUUCCGGGACUCCUCUAGCUUGCUUGGUAGUUGCUCAAGACUUCUAAGCACUCUCAAGUACUGCUCUGUGAUGAUUGAUGAUAUAUGCUACACUUAGGAUGGACUCGUGC
rnacentral:lncRNA from 1 species